rnacentral:misc_RNA from 1 species
CCGAGUUUUCAACUCCCAACCCAUGUGAACAUACCUCUGUUGCUUCGGCGGACCGCCCCGGUGCCCUUUGGGGCGCUGGAGCCAGGCGCCCGCCGGGGACCCUAUACUCUUGUAUUUUUUCUUUUUUCAGAACCCGCGUACGCGCAACAAACAUCA